rnacentral:lncRNA from 1 species
GGGAAUUGCUUGAACCAGGGAGGUGGAGGUUGCAGUGAGCCAAGAUCGCACCACUGCACUCCAGCAUGGGUGACAGAGCAAGACUCUGCCUCAAAAAAAAAAAUUCAAAAAAAAGUUUAAAAAAAUAGUAAUUCAAUGUCAGGAAGGAUAAAUUAACAAGUAUCAUCAUAUACUGGUAUGAGGUGUAAACUGAUUCACACUUUCUGAAAACCCAUUUGGCAGUACAUAUCAAGAGACUACACUACUCAGGAAGCUGAGGUGGGAGGAUUGCUUAAGCAUAGGAGAUCGAGGUUGCAGUGGGCUAUGACAACACCACUGCACUCCAGCCUGGUCAACAGAGUGAGAUCCUGUCUCAAAACAGAAAGAAAAUUUCCAUAAUAAUAAUUUUCUCAAUGUUUGCCAAAGUGCUCAGCCUGGGCAAUAGAGCAAGACCCUGUCUGAAAAAUAAAAUAAAAUAAAAAUGUAAAAAUAAGCCAGGUACAGUGGCACAUGCCUAUAAUCCCAGCUACUCAGGUGGAUGAAGCAUGAGAAAUGCCUGAACCCAGGAGGCAGAGGUUGCAGUGAGCCAAGAUCACGCCACUGCCCUCCAACCUGGACGACACAGCAAGACUGUCUCAAAGAAAAAAGAAGGCCAGGUGCGGUGGCCUUACCAACAUGGUGAAACCCCAUCUCUACUAAAAAUACAAAAAUCAGCAGGGCAUGGUGGCGUGCGCCUGUAAUUCCGCUACUCAGGAGGCUGAGGCACAAGAAUUGCUUGAACCCGGGAGGCAGAUGUUGCAGUGAGCCGAGAUUGUGCCACUGCACUGCAGCCUGGGCGACAGAGCAAGACUCCAUCUCAAAAAAAAAAAAAAAAUGUAAAUCACUUUAUUUGAUAGAAAAGAGUUAACCUAAGUUAAGUAAAUAAACCAUCAUUUCUUAUGAUGUAGCCAGUUCAUAAUACACAAAUAUGCAAAAUAAAAAUUUUUUUCAAUCCAGCUAGUGAUCAGUAGAUUUAAUAAGUCACCAUUUUGUAACCACCAAAUUCAGUUUGUUUGCUUGUUUGUUUUAAAAAAAAACUUUUAAAAUGUUGAUCCUCACUGAGGGCACAUUUGCACUAUUACAGGUACGUGUACUGAUACAUUGCUAAGAAAAGAGUAAAUUGGUGCAGCCCUUUUGGAAAAAGUUGGCACCAGACAUCAAGAAUUCUAAAAAUGUUUAUACUCUGACAUGUUCAUGUCACCCUGAGAAUAUAUCUUAAAGACCACAAAGUGUGUAUAAUUAUGGCAACCUUAUGUUCCAGAUUUUCUAAGAAGGUGUUCACUGUAAAUAAUUGUGUUCUUUUCAAUAAAGGCAAAUCAGUAAGUUAGUAACUAAGUUUGAGAAUAAUGGAAGUCAUCCUUACUAAUUAAGAGUGAUCUUGAAAGCCUCGGGUGCUAAGGGUCUUUUUUCUUUUUACCCCUGUCCUGAGUAUUCCCUUAUAUCCUUCCCUCAAAGGCCAAAGCUAGAGACAGCAGAUACGUUUUUAUGCAAUUGGACCUCAAUGCUUCUCGAAAUAUGCGAAUGAACAACUUUCUUGAAUGUCUUACCCCACCACUCUU